rnacentral:rRNA from 1 species
UACAGAGGGGGCAAGCGUUGUUCGGAAUUACUGGGCGUAAAGGGCGCGUAGGCGGCCUGUUAAGUCGAACGUGAAAUCCCCGGGCUCAACCCGGGAACUGCGUCCGAUACUGGCAGGCUUGAAUCCGGGAGAGGGAUGUGGAAUUCCAGGUGUAGCGGUGAAAUGCGUAGAUAUCUGGAGGAACACCGGUGGCGAAGGCGGCAUCCUGGACCGGUAUUGACGCUGAGGCACGAAGGCCAGGGGAGCAAACGGG